CAAAGUGAAGAUGGCGACCGGCGCACGGGUGAGUAACACGUAUCCAACCUGCCGAUAACUCGGGGAUAGCCUUUCGAAAGAAAGAUUAAUACCCGAUGGUAUAAUAAAGCCGCAUGGUUUAAUUAUUAAAGAAUUUCGGUUAUCGAUGGGGAUGCGUUCCAUUAGGCAGUUGGUGGGGUAACGGCCCACCAAACCUUCGAUGGAUAGGGGUUCUGAGAGGAAGGUCCCCCACAUUGGAACUGAGACACGGUCCAA
rnacentral:rRNA from 1 species